GGUCCCUUCGUCUAACCGGCCAGGACAACGCCCUUUCAAGGCGUCAAUGCGGGUUCGACUCCCGCAGGGAUCG
rnacentral:tRNA from 1 species